AGAGAGCAUUUCAACAAGAAGGCAGUCAAUAGCAAGCUCAGGGAGAAUGAGCGUUGGCACCAACAGGCGGCUGUCGGACGUCUUCACUGUCUUCCAGAGCCGCAUGUCGGCUGAGUGCCAUGGGAUUCUCGAUGUAAGUGAUUCAUGUUUACUAUCUACAUCAAUGGAUGAUAUUUAACUCAAGAUUGAAAGUCUGGAGAAAUAAGCAAGCUGUGAAAGUUCUGACUUCUUUUCAAUUUGACGUCUUUUCAAAUUAAAAUUUAGAAGACCAGAAAUGCAGCCAGUUUGAUACCCCUCAGUAUUGGUAAAGGAAGUUGAGUUAACCCUGAAGAUAUUACCAAGAAGUUUGUGUGCUGUGAGGAGGAUGAGGGUGCAUUGUGGAGUUGUAAUAUAAUAAAUUUAUUUUCAUAGAGCACCUUUGUAACUGUAAUAAAUAUAAAAAGGUUAAAGUAAUUUUUGCUUAUAGAAAAGGGGGUAAUAAGAUAUAUAGGAAAGACAAAGGCUUAUAUGCUGUUUUUGUAUCUUGUAUGUAUAAUAACUUACUGUUAUUCAUCCUCAGUUCAAAGACAUCAAAGCUUUAAUUUUGUGACAUGCUGUGGGGGUGUAGACAACUUUUGUAAUGUGGGUGCUAUUGUAUGUCUAUUUUUUAUACAUUUUUUUUUUUUUUUUUUUUUUUUUUUAUAUAUUCCCUAGGCUUCAUUAGAAAUAUAAUGUGUAUUUAGAAUAUACGAACUACAGCUGACGUUAUUGGAUCUCCUUUGUCCUUUAUGGUUUCUGUGUAUUAAGAUUCUUAAAGCAACUGUUAAAGAUGUCAAACACACACAAAAUAAAUAUGUAACAAUUACAGGAGCAACUUAUUUAAGUAUUGAUACUGACCUGAAGAUAUGUAUUUUAGUUGACACUUAGAUAUAUUUGAGUGGUUUACAGCAUCAUAUAAGUUUGUAUCAUAAAAGUUUAAGAAGUUGACUUUGGUAUAACUGUCCUUUCUGCAAAUACUAAUAUACAAUAAUAAUGGAAACAGUUAUUUGGUAUUACACAGGCAUUAUUUUAUAUAUAUUUGUGCUUAAUGAAAAUAAAACUUGCCACUACAAAUAACUAUGAUAAUUAAUGUUAAUAAAUAUACUGUAUA